ensembl:lncRNA
GAGCGUGUGUGUGGCCGCCAUUUUCUCGUCUGCCGCCACAGGGACUGCCACGGCGUAUUCGUUAUUGGAUUGUGAAUGUGGCAGUGCAAAGAAUGUCCAUCGCAACUAGCUAGCAGACAAAGAAAGAAGAGUGAAGAGAGACAGGGAAAAUGAUGAGAGAGAGAGAGAAAGAGAGAUGAAGAAGAGAGCAUAUCCUGACAGCUUUCAAAUUCCAGCCUUCACAUGGUGUUGGAAUAGGAAUCCAGCAGCAAGAGAGACGCCUACUCCAGAGGAAAAAAAACAUAAACAUCAAUAACAGAAUAAACUUUCACCAAAGGUAUUAAAGUAGCGAGGUAAAUCUUCGCUCGCCGUUUUUCCUCUGGGGAAAAGAUGUGCAACCCUGGGUAUCGCUGAUUGCCCUGAGAGAUCUGGGGAAUGGUGUGGGAUUGACGUGGCCUCCAUCCUCCAGUGGCGGUUGUGCUACCCUUGACGCCGGCCCGUUUAACAAGGCCUUCACUCAAGCCUGAGCAGGCCAUCAUCACACUCCCCCUACACUCCUACACUCAGGUCAAGGAUGUUUGACACCUCUCCUUCAGCCGGGCACACAGUAAUUCCUGCUGUUCAGUGUGUGACAUUCUGAUUCACAAUGACUUACAAGGACGGCUCUCCCAAAAAAGGAAAUGCUAGCAUCAUGUAUUGUCCCUUCUGUCAUUCUGAGUCCAUCUGAUUUUCUUUCUUCUGUGAAAUGCAAAAGGAGAUAUUUAGUUGAAUGUCCAAGCUGCUCUUUUCCAUUCAGUGAAAAUGGAUGGGGUCUAGAGACACCCUUGUGAAAAAGAAAUACAUACUGUUAAAAAGAGCACUUAUAUAUAAAGAGUUAUUUUGCAAAAACA